rnacentral:lncRNA from 1 species
CGAGAGCUAUUGCGAGUGUCUCUACGGAGACGGCAAUAUGACCUGUUAGGGUCGCGACUUCAGUGGGGGCUACUAGGGUAUAGCCCAGGGUUUGGAUAGCGGUCGUUUAGGCGACUGCAUUGUUAGUGCUGCUUCCACAGAUCUUUGGGUAGGGUUGUGAUGCCUACCUAUCCUCCUUGAUUGCUGAUUGGAAUCAGCGGUUCGGAUCUUUCGACCUUUACCUCGUUCAUUCUUC